rnacentral:rRNA from 1 species
AUUCCAGCUCCAAUAGCGUAUAUUUUAGUUGUUGCAGUUAAAAAGCUCGUAGUUGAAUUUCUGGUGGGAAGAUGCGGACGGCCUCAUGGCUUGUUCCAAGUCUUCCGGCCAUCCUUGGGUGGAGCUCGUCUGGCAUUAAGUUGUCGGGCGGGGGAUGCCCAUCGUUUACUGUGAAAAAAUUAAAGUGUUCAAAGCUGACUUAUGUCGUUGAAUAUAUUAGCAUGGAAUAAUAAGAUAGGACAGCAGUGCUAUUUUGUUGGUUCGCGCACCGUUGUAAUGAUGAGUAGGGACAGUUGUGGGUAUUUAUAUUCACUUGUAAGAGGUGAAAUUCUUAGAUUAAGGGAAGAUAAACUACUGCGAAAGCAUUUACCAAGGAUGUUUUCAUUA